rnacentral:misc_RNA from 1 species
AAUAUAAAAGAAAAAUUUUCAAAUUCUCUGUUUUCUACACAUGUUCACAAAUAGCUUAGUACACUGAAAACACAAACCCUAGAGUAGCCUGCACUAUUCAUAUCUGCAGACAACGAGGAAUUAAUGACAGGAAGAGAAGCACAUCUGAUACAUUUGCUAUGCCUAUCACUAAUUAAAAAUAAAUUAUAAUAAAUUAAUGAAGUCAGAAUCUUCAUCAACAAUCUUAGAGAUAAAAACAUGUACGAAGAUUCAAGCAUGGGUCUUGAUUGCACAUGAGAAAACGCAAGCAUGAUAUUGUAGAAAAAGAAAAUGUAGUAAGGAGUAUGAAACCUUCAUGGAACUCGUAACUAUGAGAAACUAAUACGAAGAUUCGCAAGAAAUUAAAAAGAAUCAAGAACAGCCAACAAUCUAAUAUGAGAAGCCAAUACGAAGAUUCGCAAGAAAUUAAAAAGAAUCAAGAACAGCCAACAAUCUAAUAUGAGAAGCC